rnacentral:lncRNA from 1 species
AUGUUUCAUUCACCUCAUGCACCCCUAUCAAAGUUAAAUUUAGGAAUGACGUGGCCUGGAAGCACCAUCUCUAUUUUUCCUGGAAUUCAAACUAAUGCUUUGAAACAAACCAAAACAAGAAGGAAGGAAGGAAAAUGAAGAGAAAGAAGGGUAGAGGAGGAGCUGGAGGAAGAGAAACUGUGGUAUAAAUAUUGGAAAAAUAUAUAUACUUGGAUUAUAAUAGGAUUAUCAUCAGUGCCCUAAGGAAAUAGUAGCUACUAAUUAAAAAGGCAUAGAAUUUCUAUGAAAACAAAAGCAAAGUAAAUGUUAGACCUAAUACCAUAAAAACCCUAGAAGAAAACCUAGGUA